AGGGNACCUGCGGAAGGAUCAUUACAGAGUUCAUGCCCUUCGGGGUAGACCUCCCACCCUUGAAUACCUAUACCUUUGUUGCUUUGGCAAGUCGCUUCGGCUACUGGCUCCGGCUAGUACGUACUUGCCAGAGAACCAAAACUCUGUCAUUAAUGUCGUCUGAGUACUAUAAUAAUAGUUAAAACUUUCAACAACGGAUCUCUUGGUUCUGGCAUCGAUGAAGAACGCAGCGAAAUGCGAUAAGUAAUGUGAAUUGCAGAAUUCAGUGAAUCAUCGAAUCUUUGAACGCACAUUGCGCCCCUUGGUAUUCCGAGGGGCAUGCCUGUUCGAGCGUCAUUUCAACCCUCAAGCUCAGCUUGGUGUUGGGGCCUGCCAUCACUGGCAGCCUCUAAAAGCAGUGGCGGCGCCAUCUGGCUCUAAGCGUAGUAACUUACCCGCUAUAGAACCCGGAUGGAUGCUUGCCAGCAACCCCUCAUUUUCUAUGGUUGACCUCGGAUCAGGUAGGGAUACCCGCUGAACUUAAGCAUAUCAAUAAGCCGGAGGAAAGGAUCAU
rnacentral:rRNA from 1 species